CAGGUUAAUAUUGAAACUAGAAAAUUAUAUCUGUUGUCUGAACCAUACAAUGAGUAAAUGAUCAACUAACAAAAUAACCAAAAGCAUCACAUCAAACAUAUUAUAUAUUAGAACAAAAAAUAUUUAACUCAUGAAUAUAAGUCAUGUAUAUGUAUAGCUAAGAGUUGGCUGUAAAGUUGACAAUAACAAUUUGUUUUUAAAAAUGUAAUUGGCCAUUGUUUUUUUUAUGGUACAUAAUGUUAGCAUGCUGCCCUGUAAGAUAGAUUUACAGUUGUUUUUUUUCAAUAGUCCAUCUCAUUAUUACUACUUAAAGGCAAAACAAUUACUUUUAGAUGUUUAACUCCCAGAAGACUAGCAUAGUGCAUUUAACUCAUUCAUAGUGCACUUUUCUCUCUAAUUGUCAUAAGAGUUGGGUCUAUGACUCUUAGAACUCUAGGUCUAUGAAAGCUUGCUUCCAUCUGCCUGAAAAAACUUCUGUCUCGGAAAGAUGGGUAGAUGUAAAUUAUUGCAUCCCUAUUAUCAAUGGAUCAUAACCCAAGGUGCUCAGAUUAGAAUCAAGGCCAAUGGUCGAGCACAUCAGGGAAACCCCCCCCCCCCCCCCC